rnacentral:rRNA from 1 species
CACGUAGGGGGCGAGCGUUGUCCGGAUUUAUUGGGCGUAAAGAGCUCGUAGGCGGCUCAGUAAGUCAGGUGUGAAAACUCCAGGCUCAACCUGGAGACGCCACUUGAUACUGCUGUGGCUAGAGUCCGGUAGGGGAGCAUGGAAUUCCUGGUGUAGCGGUGAAAUGCGCAGAUAUCAGGAGGAACACCAGCGGCGAAGGCGGCGCUCUGGGCCGGAACUGACGCUGAGGAGCGAAAGCGUGGGGAGCGAACAGG